UACGUAGGGUGCAAGCGUUGUCCGGAAUUAUUGGGCGUAAAGAGCUCGUAGGCGGUCUGUUGCGUCGGCUGUGAAAACCCGGGGCUCAACUCCGGGCCUGCAGCCGAUACGGGCAGACUAGAGUUCGGCAGGGGAGACUGGAAUUCCUGGUGUAGCGGUGAAAUGCGCAGAUAUCAGGAGGAACACCGGUGGCGAAGGCGGGUCUCUGGGCCGAUACUGACGCUGAGGAGCGAAAGCGUGGGGAGCGAUCCGG
rnacentral:rRNA from 1 species